rnacentral:lncRNA from 1 species
CCUCAUUGUGGCCCACAGGCCCUGCACGUGUGCCCCUGAACUCUGACCUCACCACCCAGUGCACCCCCACUGCCCUCCAGCCACCUGGCCUGGCUGCUCCUCCACCUGCUUGGGACUGUGCACUGCCCACAGGCUCUCUCCAUGGCCUCAUAGCCACUAGGCCUUCCCUGACUUCCUGUUUAAUGUCACACCCCCACUUCUUGCUGUCCCUUCCACAGCACUUACGCCCCAUUAUCUGUUACUGAUUUUCCAUGUUUAUUGGCUUUCUCUCCACCCACAUAUGGUAACUGCAUGAGGGCAGGGUUUUUCUCUGUUUUGUUCACAGCUGUGUCCCAGCACUUAGACGGUGCCUAGCAUGCAGCACACUUCCCACAGAGGCUUUUGAAUGAAUGGAUGCACUCCAUCCGCAACCUGCCAUCCAUGCGGUUCCGUGAGCAGCACGGGGAGGAUGGUGUGGAGGACAUGACACAGCUGGAAGACCUCCAGGAAACCACUGUGCUGUCCAACCUCAAGAUUAGAUUUGAACGGAACC